GCUGAAGAACGUAGCGAAAUGCGAUACGUAAUGUGAAUUGCAGAAUUCAGUGAAUCAUCGAAUCUUUGAACGCACAUUGCGCCUGCCAGCACUCUGGCAGGCAUGCCUGUUCGAGCGUCAUUUCAACCAUCAAGCCCUAGGCUUGCGUUGGAGCCCUGCGGCUGCCGCAGGCCCCUAAAAGCAGUGGCGGGCUCGCUAUCACACCGAGUGCAGUAGAUUACUCUUCGCUCAGGGCGUGUGGCGGGUUCCAGCCGUGAAACCCCCUACUUCUCAAGGUUGACCUCGGAUCAGGUAGGAAUACCCGCUGAACUUAAGCAUAUCAAUAAGCGGAGGA
rnacentral:misc_RNA from 1 species